rnacentral:tRNA from 1 species
UACUCACUUGGUGAAAUUGGUAAACACGAUGGAUUUAAAAUCUAUUCUUAAUUAAGUUAUUGGUUCAAAUCCAAUAGUGAGUAA